rnacentral:rRNA from 1 species
AGAGUUUGAUCCUGGCUCAGAUUGAACGCUGGCGGCAGGCCUAACACAUGCAAGUCGAACGGUAACAGGAAGCAGCUUGCUGCUUCGCUGACGAGUGGCGGACGGGUGAGUAAUGUCUGGGAAACUGCCUGAUGGAGGGGGAUAACUACUGGAAACGGUAGCUAAUACCGCAUAACGUCGCAAGACCAAAGAGGGGGACCUUCGGGCCUCUUGCCAUCGGAUGUGCCCAGAUGGGAUUAGCUUGUUGGUGGGGUAACGGCUCACCAAGGCGACGAUCCCUAGCUGGUCUGAGAGGAUGACCAGCCACACUGGAACUGAGACACGGUCCAGACUCCUACGGGAGGCAGCAGUGGGGAAUAUUGCACAAUGGGCGCAAGCCUGAUGCAGCCAUGCCGCGUGUAUGAAGAAGGCCUUCGGGUUGUAAAGUACUUUCAGCGGGGAGGAAGGGAGUAAAGUUAAUACCUUUGCUCAUUGACGUUACCCGCAGAAGAAGCACCGGCUAACUCCGUGCCAGCAGCCGCGGUAAUACGGAGGGUGCAAGUGUUAAUCGGAAUUACUGGGCGUAAAGCGCACGCAGGCGGUUUGUUAAGUCAGAUGUGAAAUCCCCGGGCUCAACCUGGGAACUGCAUCUGAUACUGGCAAGCUUGAGUCUCGUAGAGGGGGGUAGAAUUCCAGGUGUAGCGGUGAAAUGCGUAGAGAUCUGGAGGAAUACCGGUGGCGAAGGCGGCCCCCUGGACGAAGACUGACGCUCAGGUGCGAAAGCGUGGGGAGCAAACAGGAUUAGAUACCCUGGUAGUCCACGCCGUAAACGAUGUCGACUUGGAGGUUGUGCCCUUGAGGCGUGGCUUCCGGAGCUAACGCGUUAAGUCGACCGCCUGGGGAGUACGGCCGCAAGGUUAAAACUCAAAUGAAUUGACGGGGGCCCGCACAAGCGGUGGAGCAUGUGGUUUAAUUCGAUGCAACGCGAAGAACCUUACCUGGUCUUGACAUCCACGGAAGUUUUCAGAGAUGAGAAUGUGCCUUCGGGAACCGUGAGACAGGUGCUGCAUGGCUGUCGUCAGCUCGUGUUGUGAAAUGUUGGGUUAAGUCCCGCAACGAGCGCAACCCUUAUCCUUUGUUGCCAGCGGUCCGGCCGGGAACUCAAAGGAGACUGCCAGUGAUAAACUGGAGGAAGGUGGGGAUGACGUCAAGUCAUCAUGGCCCUUACGACCAGGGCUACACACGUGCUACAAUGGCGCAUACAAAGAGAAGCGACCUCGCGAGAGCAAGCGGACCUCAUAAAGUGCGUCGUAGUCCGGAUUGGAGUCUGCAACUUGACUCCAUGAAGUCGGAAUCGCUAGUAAUCGUGGAUCAGAAUGCCACGGUGAAUACGUUCCCGGGCCGUGCACACACCGCCCGUCA